UAAGACGAAGGUGGCAAGCGUUGUUCGGAAUUACUGGGCAUAAAGCGCGCGUAGGUGGCAUUGUAAGCGGGGGAUGAAAUCCCAUGGCUCACCCAUGGAACUGUCCCUCGAACUGCAUUGCUUGAGGGCGGGAGGGGAGAGUGGAAUUCCUGGUGUAGCGGUGAAAUGCGUAGAUAUCAGGAGGAACACCGGUGGCGAAAGCGACUCUCUGGUCCGUUCCUGACACUGAUGCGCGAAAGCUAGGGGAGCAAACAGGAUUAGAUACCCUGGUAGUCCUAGCUGUAAACGAUGGGCACUGGGUAGAGGGGGUGUCGAUAUCCUCUCUGCCGUAGCUAAUGUGUUAAGUGCCCCGCCUGGGGAGUACGGUCGCAAGGCUA
rnacentral:rRNA from 1 species